UCUGAUGGCGACCGGCGUACGGGUGAGUAACGCGUAUCCAACCUGCCCUUUACUAUGGGACAGCCCGUCGAAAGGCGGAUUAAUACCGUAUGUUGUCAUGUUGAUGCAUAUUUUCAUGACCAAAGGCUUCGGCCGGUAAAGGAUGGGGAUGCGUCUGAUUAGCUUGCCGGCGGGGUAACGGCCCACCGGGGCGACGAUCAGUAGGGGUUCUGAGAGGAAGGUCCCCCACAUUGGAACUGAGACACGGUCCAAACUCCUACGGAAGGCAGCAG
rnacentral:rRNA from 1 species